GCCGGCAUGUCGGAAUGGCAGACGAUGCGGACUCAAAAUCCGUUGGCGGCAACGCCGUGUGGGUUCAAGUCCCACUGCCGGCA
rnacentral:tRNA from 6 species